GACGAACGCUGGCGGCAUGCCUAACACAUGCAAGUCGAACGGAGAUUAUUUCGGUAAUCUUAGUGGCGAACGGGUGAGUAACGCGUGGGCAACCUGCCCUCUAGAUGGGGACAACAUCCCGAAGGGGGUGCUAAUACCGAAUGUGACAGCAAUCUCGCAUGAGGAUGCUGUGAAAGAUGGCCUCUAUUUAUAAGCUAUCGCUAGAGGAUGGGCCUGCGUCUGAUUAGCUAGUUGGUGGGGUAACGGCCUACCAAGGCGAUGAUCAGUAGCCGGUCUGAGAGGAUGAACGGCCACAUUGGGACUGAGACACGGCCCAGACUCCUACGGGAGGCAGCAGUGGGGAAUCUUCCGCAAUGGGCGAAAGCCUGACGGAGCAAUGCCGCGUGAGUGAUGAAGGAAUUCGUUCCGUAAAGCUCUUUUGUUUAUGACGAAUGUGCAGAUUGUGAACAAUGAUCUGUAAUGACGGUAGUAAACGAAUAAGCCACGGCUAACUACGUG
rnacentral:rRNA from 1 species